rnacentral:tRNA from 1 species
GGCUCCAUGGCGGAACGGUAGCGCGUCUGACUUCAGAUCAGAAGGUUGCGUGUUCGAAUCCCGUCAGGGUCA